rnacentral:rRNA from 1 species
AGUCCUAGCCGUAAACGAUACUCGCUAGGUGUCGGCCACGGUGCGACCGUUGUCGGUGCCGUAGGGAAGCCGUGAAGCGAGCCACCUGGGAAGUACGGCCGCAAGGCUGAAACUUAAAGGAAUUGGCGGGGGAGCACCACAACGGGUGGAGCUUGCGGUUUAAUUGGAUUCAACGCCGGAAAUCUUACCGGGACCGACAGCAAUAUGAAGGCCAGGCUGAAGACUUUGCCGGAUUAGCUGAGAGGUGGUGCAUGGC